GAUGGACGCUGGCGGCGUGCCUAAUACAUGCAAGUCGAGCGAACGGACGAGAAGCUUGCUUUUCUGAUGUUAGCGGCGGACGGGUGAGUAAAACGUGGAUAACCUACCUAUAAGACUGGGAUAACUUCGGGAAACCGGAGCUAAUACCGGAUAAUAUUUUGAACCGCAUGGUUCAAAAGUGAAAGACGGUCUUGCUGUCACUUAUAGAUGGAUCCGCGCUGCAUUAGCUAGUUGGUAAGGUAACGGCUUACCAAGGCAACGAUGCAUAGCCGACCUGAGAGGGUGAUCGGCCACACUGGAACUGAGACACGGUCCAGACUCCUACGGGAGGCAGCAGUAGGGAAUCUUCCGCAAUGGGCGAAAGCCUGACGGAGCAACGCCGCGUGAGUGAUGAAGGUCUUCGGAUCGUAAAACUCUGUUAUUAGGGAAGAACAUAUGUGUAAGUAACUGUGCACAUCUUGACGGUACCUAAUCAGAAAGCCACGGCUAACUACGUG
rnacentral:rRNA from 1 species